rnacentral:rRNA from 1 species
AGUGAACGCUGGCGGUAGGCCUAACACAUGCAAGUCGAACGGCAGCACAGUAAGAGCUUGCUCUUACGGGUGGCGAGUGGCGGACGGGUGAGGCAUACAUCGGAAUCUACUUUUUCGUGGGGGAUAACGUAGGGAAACUUACGCUAAUACCGCAUACGACCUACGGGUGAAAGCAGGGGAUCUUCGGACCUUGCGCGAUUGAAUGAGCCGAUGUCGGAUUAGCUAGUUGGCGGGGUAAAGGCCCACCAAGGCGACGAUCCGUAGCUGGUCUGAGAGGAUGAUCAGCCACACUGGAACUGAGACACGGUCCAGACUCCUACGGGAGGCAGCAGUGGGGAAUAUUGGACAAUGGGCGCAAGCCUGAUCCAGCCAUACCGCGUGAGUGAAGAAGGCCUUCGGGUUGUAAAGCCCUGUUGUUGGGAAAGAAAAGCAGCAGGUUAAUACGCCGCUGUUCUGACGGUACCCAAAGAAUAAGCACCGGCUAACUUCGUG